GCAGAGGGCCUUUCUCUGUGUUUGUCCUCACCCCAGAUAAAUACCUGUCCUCAACUGCUGAUUCUGUCUGCUGCUGGCUGCAGACUGGAGAUUUCUCCACUGCCACCUGUUGUGCUUGAAGGUCUCAUGUAUCCCAGGUUGACCUCGAACUCGCUAUGCACUGGAGGAUGACCUUGAACUGCUAGUGUUCUGGUCUCCAUCUCUGAGUGCUAGGAUAGCAGGUGUGCUUCACCACGUCUGGUGCAUGUGGGGCUAGGCAGCUUGAGAGCUUCCUCCACAGCCCUUGACCUUGUUUUUCACAAUUGCUAAGUCACUGCUUGCUUUGGUCUGCUCAGACGUCUCCUCCCACCAGAAGAAUGGAACUGAAAAAGCAAUGGAGUGGACAGAAUGUUUCUUCUCAUCAAGGACGUAUAAAUGAUCAAGGACAUACCAGGGGAGCUCCAUACCCUGAGCUGCUCCAGUACUGACAGUACACAUGAGCAUGACACACAGUAUACAUGUGUGUGUGGCUGUGUGUGUGCACAUGGGCACAGAGGUGUUUAUGCUCACGAGAGAAACCAAAUGGAACUAUUAGGCAUAUUGAUAAGCAAGGAUGUGUAGGUAGUAUUUCAGUGUUUGUAUGCCCACCACAUGUAUGCUUACUUUAUGUAUGUGUGUGUGUAAAUGUGUGUGUGUGUGUGCACAUAUAUCAAGUCACUCCUCAGGACUCCAUCUUUCUUGUUUUUAAUUUUGAUAUUACAGGAUAUUUAUUUAUUUGUUUGUGCAUGUAUGGACAAGUUGCAGGAGUCUCCUGGAGCCCGGGUUGUUCUAAAAUUUCCUGUGUAUCUUAGAAUAACUUUGAACUCCU